CGGCAGGAGAGGCACUGCGACGCCUGUGGCGCGCGCAGUCAUAAUUACGCGAAUUGCAAGUUCCGGGACUAUGUGUGCAGCAAGUGUCAGCGUACAGGCCAUUUGCGGCGGGUGUGCCCGGACUGGGGCUCGGCACCGGGAACCGCGGGCCGUGGAGGAGCGCGGGCGCCGGCCCGGCGCGGAGGGGCAGCGGCGGCGACGCCGGCGCGGAGUGCCAUGCAUUUUGGGGUGGCCGAUCACGAACCGAGUGAGGAUUACGGCGGAGACAUCGAGGAAGAAUUACAUCACCUAUGUUUAAAUAACUACCCGGCGAUAUGAGGCGUUGUUCAGCGAUGGACUGGGCCGGUACAAGGGCGGCAAGGCGACCUUGAGGGUGCGGGAGGGCGCAGCACCGGUGUUCCAUCGCGCACGCCCGAUGCCGUACGCGCUGCGCGAGCGCGUGGACGCCGAACUGGACGCCAUGCUGAGCGCCGGCGUCAUCGAACCCGUCGACUGCUCGGACUGGGCGUCACCACUGGUACCUAUUAAUAAGCCGGACGGCUCCCUUAGAAUUUGUGCAGACUAUAAAACUACCUUAAACCCGUAUUUGUUGGUUGAUCGGUAUCCUCUCCCUAAAAUAGAAGAUGUUCUUGUAAAUUUAAAUGGCAAUAUGUACUUUAGUAAAAUUGAUCUUUCACAAGCGUACAACCAAAUUGAACUGGACGAGUCUAAAUGUUAUACGGUUAUUAACACCCACCGAGGGCUGUUUCAGUAUAACAGACUGGUGUACGGCUUAUCAUCUAGUGUAGGAAUAUUUCAGCGUAUUAUGAUAAAUUUAUUGGGUAAUAUACCUAAUGUACAAAUAUUUUUAGACGAUGUAAUUAUCGGUGGCAAAACUAAAUCGGAACAUCUACACGCUUUAGAAGCGGUUUUUCAGCGUUUACUUACUAACGGAUUGAAGUUAAGGAAAAAUAAAUGUGUUUUUUUGGCUAAGGAAGUCACAUACUUAGGGUAUGUAGUUACUAGGGAGGGCAUCAAACCGGAUACAACAAAGAUAAAGGCGAUUCUGCAAAUGUCUCAACCUCGUAACGUAUCGGAGUUAAGGUCGUUCUUAGGGACGGUAAAUUUUUUCGGAAGGUUUCUUAAAAAUCUCAGUUUAAUAUUGUCACCACUUUAUAAACUAUUAAAAAAGGAGGCGGAGUGGCACUGGAGCAAGGAGUGCGGGGAAUCUUUCGUGCAGGUAAAACAAUUAUUGUCGGGCGCUCAAGUAUUAAGGCAUUAUGAUCCGAGUAAACGAUUGAUAGCGACUUGUGACGCGUCGCCACGGGGGGUGGGGGCGGUUUUGACCCAAAUUGGACCGGAUGGCGAACGCCCGGUCGCGUACGCAUCUCGUACCUUAAACAGCGCAGAGGCGAAUUAUUCGCAGAUACACCGCGAAGCCUUAGGUAUUAUUUUUUGUGUAAAGAAAUUCCACCAGUAUCUUUACGGACGUCAUUUCACAUUGCGCACAGAUCACAAACCACUAGUAUCAAUAUUUGGGCCGAAUACGGGUAUACCGACAAUGACAGCUAGCAGGAUGCAGCGGUGGGCAAUAAUAUUAUCAGCUUAUGAUUACGAAAUUGAAUAUGUGAAUACGAAGGAUAACUGUGCGGACGGGUUGUCUAGAUUACCUAAUGCCAAUGAGACACGGAAUAAUUCUGGUGAUGCUAUUCCCGAGCAAACAUAUCUGCAUUUCGCGCAAGACGCGUUGUUGUUAGAUUAUUAUAAGAUAAGGUACUAUACUACGCGUGAUCCAGUUUUGGCUAGAGUGUUAACUUUUGUUCGCGAUGGUUGGCCGGAUAGUUGUGACUUUGAUACAUUGAAGCCAUACUUUAACAGAAAGUCAGAAUUAUAUGACGAGUUGGGUUGUGUCAUGUGGGGGCACCGGGUAGUAAUACCGGAGAAGUGCCGCGACAAGGUUUUAAGAAUUCUGCAUGAACCUCACAUGGGUAUAGUUAAGACCAAGGCGUUGGCCCGUAGCUAUGUGUGGUGGCCGGGCCUCGACGAGGCGGUGGAGGCGGCGUGUCGUGAGUGCGAGCCGUGCGCCGCGGUGGCGAGCGGCCCGCCGCGACACCCGCCGCGCUGCUGGCCGUGGCCAACGCGAGCAUGGACUCGGGUGCAUGUAGAUUUCUUGGGCCCUUUUCACGGGAAAACUUAUUUAAUAGUAGUGGACGCUAUGUCAAAAUGGGUCGAAGUAUUCCAGGUUCCUAGCACGGCUGCCGUUUCAACCAUUCAAAAAUUAACCGAAUUAUGGGCUAGAUGGGGAAUACCUAAACAAUUGAUAAGCGAUAACGGGCCGCCGUUUUCGAGCAAAGAAUUUUCGCACUUUUUAGCCUUAGACGGGGUAGAACAGAUUUUUACGGCUCCUUAUCACCCUGCCUCUAACGGAGCGGCAGAAAAUUCGGUUAAAGUAAUAAAACAAGUUAUAAAAAAAGCGGUAAUAGAAAAAAACGACAUUCUAAACGCUAUCAACACAUAUUUAAUUUACUAUCGCAAUACGGCGCACAGUUCCACAGGCGAGAGCCCCGCGAUGCUCAUGACAGGUAGGCAAUUGCGAACGCGCUUAGAUUUGUUAAAACCGGAUGUAAGUUUGAAGGUAACUAAAAACCAACAGCGGCAAACUCGCUUGGCUGGAGGGUCGGAACGGAGGAUCGAAAUAGGAGAGGACGUUUGGUAUCGUAAAUAUCUGAAGGGAGAAAAAUGGCAACCGGGUAAGGUGUCCGGGGUUCUAGGUGACACGGAUUAUAACGUUACAGAUGGUCAGGGUAACAUUAUUCACCGCCAUAUCGACCAAUUAAAACGGAGGGCGAGGAGUUCUAUAGUCUGUCCAAAAAGUAAUGAGGAAAGUAGGGAAACAAUGGCCACGAAUGCAUCCCCAAGCUUGCCACCGAAACCCAGGGCUGAGCCAACAACGCCGCGAGCGAGUACCAGUGGGCUCAGGAGCGAGUCGGCGGGACCUUCGACGCCGAUGUUCGAUGCUUCGCCGGCGCGAAGUAUGGCGGAAGGGGAGGAAGAGGAUAUAGAAUGCUAUUCCACGCCCGGUAAGGAUACGGGGAGUGGUGAUGAGCAUGUUGAUCAGCCGACGACCCCCCUUGCACCGGCUCGGUCCCGGCCCCUUAGACAAUGUAGAUUGAAAAAACCAUCAUAUAAAGUAUAAACAGUAGGAAUUUGUGUUGGUUAAUUAAGUUUAAUAUUUAGAGUAAAAUACUAAUAGAUUCAUAUCAAUAAAUAAUAGAUCAAUAAUUCCUAUCGCUUAAGUGUGAAGCAUCUACUUAAUAGCAUUAUAUAACGGAAUUGAACUAAGUAGUGUAAUUUAAGUAAAUAGAAGCUUUGUUACAGUAUGUGAUAUCCUUGUAGGAUGUAUGGUUUAGGAUAAGAUGUCAUAGAACUCAACAUUACUAGCAUGUAUUGGCAAGAUUACGUUUACGAAUAAUUAAUCCAUUAUGAAUCGUACUUAUUGAACAGAAGAUCUAUAGUUAAAACUCAUAGCGAUUGUUAUUGUUAGACAAACGGGUUCUCCCGUUAACACUGUGUACGCGUAUACCUAUGGUUAUGUAAUCUGCAGCAUGCUACUACUGGAUUUAAUACCUCGUUUCCUUUAUUGUAAUUUUAGUAGGAUUUAGGUUAUAUGAAAGACGUUUAUGAUGCUACUACUUAGUAUUAAUUAAGUGUGGAGAAGUGUGACGUAUGUAGGUAGUGAUAGAUAUAACUAUUGACGUGUGUCAAAUCCUGAGUCAGUCCGGAAUAAACUCUCGAAUAGUAA